UACCUCCGUGCCGCUCAAGAUGGUCUAGUAAGAGCCACGGAUCAGUAUGUAAAGGAUGUACGGGUUCUUACAGAGAAGAAUAAUAGGCUAUCACAGGAGCUAGAGGAUUGCAAGACCCAACUGCGGGCCGCUGUUGCCGCAUUGCAGGAACCGAAAAAGUCACCCGCUGAUGAAUCCGGGGAAAAUCCGGAGGACCAGCAUGUCGUGCAACAGCUAGAGGCUAGC